GUCCACGCCGUAAACGAUGAGUGCUAGGUGUCACGGGCUUUGACCCCCGUGGUGCCGUAGCUAACGCAGUAAGCACUCCGCCUGGGGAGUACGGCCGCAAGGCUAAAACUCAAAGGAAUUGACGGGGGCCCCGCACAAGCGGUGGAGCAUGUGGUUUAAUUCGACGCAACGCGCAGAACCUUACCUGGGCUAGAAAGUGCAGGAACUCGGUCGAAAGGUCGAGGUGCCCUUCGGGGAACCUGCAGUUAGGUGUUGCAUGGCUGUCGU
rnacentral:rRNA from 1 species